rnacentral:lncRNA from 1 species
GCAGCAGGCGGCGCACGCCGCGCGGCUGCCGAGGAGGCAGAGGCGCCGGAGGCUGGGACACCGCUGACGCCUCGGGAGCCAUGGCCGAAGGAGGAGAAGGCGGCGAGGACGAGAUCCAGUUCCUGCGGACUGUUAUUCAGAAUCAGAGAUGACACUAAGAAAAAGAGAAGCUCAACUUAAAGGAUGAGGUGGCUCUUCAUUGAAGUGACCUUUCCCAAAGUAGAAGUGUUUGAAUGACAAAAGCCCAUUGUCAGAUUUCAUAACUGCUGCCAUUAUUCCAAGUAAAUGCUAUGGGAGUCCCUGAAACCAACUCCAAACAAUUCAUGUGGAAAUCUAAGGAGAAUGUUGUGAAGAGCUGAUCAUCCUCCCACAGAGCAACAGGAAAGUCUCUUCUGAAGGCACUGGCACUGUACCCCAGCAGUGACAUGGCCAGGCAUUACCUUUUGACAAUUUCACACUUGAGUUCACUAAUGGGCCCAGGCAGAGAGUCAGUCAAUGGGACUACAGGAAGAAAUGGAAAAUUCUCUAUCAGUGGCACAUAAAUGUCCACAGUGUAAGAAGUAUUGAUUGGAACUGCUUUGCUAUAUGCCAUCAACUAAAUCCGGGCUGUAAAUAAUAGUAGGACAGUUGGAGGGAUCCAGUUGACUACAAUACCACAUUGAUCCAGAAGAGGAAUCCAAGAGGUCAGAUUUGAAUUAGGGCAGUUGGUCGUGAGGGGUGUGAGCCCCACAUAAGCCCCUCGUAGCCAAUACUCGGGCCACGUGGCUGUGGUUCUGAGCUAUGCAUGUGCUUUCUCUCCAGUUCAUCCCUGUGUGUCCAGGCUGGCUAGAGAGAAGUCCCAGAAUAAACUGUAGUGAGGCCUUGGAACGAAUCUCAUCUCUUUGUGAGAGACAUUUUAGGAUGAAAAAUAUAACGGCAAACAAGCCAAUCCAUUGAAUAAAGUCAGAGCUGAAGCCUUUGCUAUACCACUAUGUAGCAUUUUUAUUGCUAGUUGCCUGUAGGAUUGUGUCUGUUCAUCCCUGGGUUUGAGUUUAUCCUUUAUAAAUUAUGGCAUGGUAAUGAUGAUUUUAUCUCAGGCAUGCCUCAAAGAGCCACCCAGUCUCCUCCAGGAUAAUUAGAUAUGGAUAUAUGGAAGGAAUAACUUGAAAUAAUAGUUGUCUGAUUAGUGAAAAGAUUCCUAUCAACCUAAAGCAUGAGCCAUACAUUUUUAAUUUCAGAAACACAGAAACCCUAAAUUUGGUCGAUUGCAAAUACUAAGGUCCCUGUAGAUUGGAGAAAUUACAAAAUUAAACACUUUUGGGGUCAACCAGGUAGCUUAAUUUGUGGCUCAACCUUUCUUUGCCGAGAACAGUAGACCUGAUCUGCACGUUCAAAAAAAAUUCUUAACAGUACCAGUCAAGCGAAGCACAUCUGCAGCAGGAUUCCGAGCUGCCUGCCAGUUUGCAGCUGAGGCUGAAUUCUCAGAAUCCGUUUGAAUGAAUGGAAUGCACUCCCUAGAAUGGAUGAACAUUUUUGAGUGGGAUCAGGCUCACAAUGCAUAUCCAGGUCCUUGG